UACGGAGGAGGCAAGCGUUAUCCGGAAUGAUUGGGCGUAAAGCGUCCGCAGGUGGCUGUGUAAGUCUGCUGUUAAAGAGUCUAGCUCAACUAGAUAAGAGCAGUGGAAACUACACGGCUAGAGUACGUUCGGGGCAGAGGGAAUUCCUGGUGUAGCGGUGAAAUGCGUAGAGAUCAGGAAGAACACCGGUGGCGAAGGCGCUCUGCUAGGCCGUAACUGACACUGAGGGACGAAAGCUAGGGGAGCGAAUGGG
rnacentral:rRNA from 1 species